rnacentral:rRNA from 1 species
CUACGGGGGGCACCAGUGAGGAAUAUUGCACAAUGGGGGGAACCCUGAUGCAGCAACGCCGCGUGGAGGAUGACGCAUUUCGGUGUGUAAACUCCUUUUAUAUGUCAAGAAAAUGACGGUAGCAUAUGAAUAAGCGCCGGCUAACUCCGUGCCAGCAGCCGCGGUAAUACGGAGGGCGCAAGCGUUACUCGGAAUCACUGGGCGUAAAGGACGCGUAGGCGGGUUGAAAAGUCAGGUGUGAAAGCCUACAGCUUAACUGUAGAACUGCACUUGAAACUCUCAAUCUAGAGUAUGGGAGGGGCAGAUGGAAUUAGUGGUGUAGGGGUAAAAUCCGUAGAUAUCACUAGGAAUACCUAAAGCGAAGGCGAUCUGCUGGAACAUUACUGACGCUAAGGCGUGAAAGCGUAGGGAGCAAACAGGAUUAGAUACCCCGGUAGUC